UACUACCCUCAAAGCCUGUACAGGUGAACCCACUAGGAAAGGCUGGCGCAAAAGAGGAAAAUUUGUUCCUAAAGAACUGUCAGA
ensembl:snoRNA SNORD22 Small nucleolar RNA SNORD22